rnacentral:misc_RNA from 1 species
CGAUCGGCACAUGUCCUCGGACAUGGCCCGAUAUGAACCUUCCCGUGCUUUUUAGAACAUAGAUGGCACCAGUCAGGUGACUAUCGAAACGUAAUACGCCGCGAUGACUUCGGUCACGACGGUAUGGCGAGCUUUCGCCGUCCACGUUUCUCUUUCUUCAAGAAGACAAAAAACCGCGUCGACCGGUUCCCCGAAUGGGCCCGUAGCUCAGUUGGUUAGAGCACACGCUUGAUAAGCGUGGGGUCGGAAGUUCAAGUCUUCCCGGGCCCACCAUUUGCACCAGCAAAUGAAAUUUGCUGUAGCGAAUGAGGGUUGAGGGAUGAUGGAAUGUCAGGCGAUGCGGAUUGUUGCCGAACCUUGGGGUCUUGCCCCUGGGUGAUCGAGCUGGAGGGGCUGUAGCUCAGCUGGGAGAGCACCUGCUUUGCAAGCAGGGGGUCAGCGGUUCGAUCCCGCUCAGCUCCACCAAAUCGAUUGGUGUUGAAGCUGACGGCAUUUGUCUUUUGAAGAAAUAAAAGUUUUGCACUGGCUUCGAGCUGGUGCCUGUUCUGCAUACAUUGUGAAGAGAAGAUUGAUCUGGAGGCUUCCAGGUGUUUUGGGUUUUGCCCAAGGCGUCCGAGCCCAGUUCCUGUGAAACCAUGGAUGGCCUAGCCGGCCGGAUGUGGUGGAGGGAUUGGAGGUAGGUAGGAAGCUUGUCACUCUGGAUCGUUUGUUGUUCGUUGCCUUUGGGCAUCGUCUGAUGAACGAUCGGAUUACCGUUGCCUGACCGCGCGGUAUCGGAUCCAAUCUCGAGAAGCUGGUCUUAAGACAGGCUGCAAGCGAGCUGCUCGGCGUAGCUCCAAUAAAGCAGACCUGUCGAACACGUCGAUGGCAUCAUGAAAUGAUCCGGUUGUAAAAGGUAACCGGAUUUUUGGACUGGCCGCACGGCAAUCGCAAGGUUGUCCGGAUGGUCGCACGUCCAAAUAUGGAUGAGCAUUGGCAAUGAGAACGAUUAAGUGUCGUAAGGGCAUUUGGUGGAUGCCUUGGCAUGCACAGGCGAUGAAGGACGUGAUACGCUGCGAAAAGCCGUGGGGAGCUG